AUUGAACGCUGGCGGCAGGCCUAACACAUGCAAGUCGAGCGGACGAAGGGAGCUUGCUCCUGGAUUCAGCGGCGGACGGGUGAGUAGCGCGCAGGAAUCUGCCUGGGAGAGGGGGAGCACGUCCGGACAGGGGCACUAAUACCGCACACGUCCUGCGGGAGCACGUGCGGGAUCUUCGGACAUCACGCUAUCAGAUGAGCCUAGGUCGGCUUAGUUAGUUGGUGGGGUAAGGGCCUACCAAGCUGACGAUCCGCCACUGGUCUGGGAGGCAGAACAGACUCACUCGAACUGAGACACGGUCCAGACUCCUACGGGAGGCAGCAGUGGGGAAUAUUGGACAAUGGGCGAAAGCCUGAUCCAGCCAUGGCGCGUGUGUGAAGAAGGUCUUCGGAUUGUAAAACACCUUAAGUUGGGAAGAAGGGCAGUAAGUUAAUACCUUGCUGUUGUGACGUUACCAACAGAAUAAGCACCGGCUAACUACGUG
rnacentral:rRNA from 1 species